ACACGCAUGACACACUGCAUAUCAAUAAGCGGAGGAAAAGAAACUAACAAGGAUUCCCUUAGUAACAGCGAGUGAAGCGGGAAGAGCUCAAAUUUGAAAUCUUCAAGGUUCUACCCUGACGAAUUGUAGUUUAUAGAAGUGUUUUCUGUUAGUAGAGUGGCAAAAGUUCUUUGGAAUAGGACAUCAUAGAGGGUGAGAAUCCCGUAUUUGGUCAUUCCUUCCUAGCGUUGUGAUACACUUUCAACGAGUCGGAUUGUUUGGGAAUGCAGUCCAAAAUGGGUGGUAAAUUUCAUCUAAAGCUAAAUAUUGGCGAGAGACCGAUAGCGAACAAGUACCGUGAGGGAAUGAUGAAAAGAACUUUGAAAAGAGAGUUAAACAGUACGUGAAAUUGUCAAAAGGGAAGCGUUUGACACCAGUGUUGUUUUUUCCGAAAAUCAAUUACGAAUGUUUUAUUUUUGAGGAAGUUAUGACUUCAUCGGCUUGCUCCUUUCUUUACGAAACUUUCUUAAUGCACUUUUCGGUUAACAAGUCAACAUCAAUUUCUUUUGUUGUAAAAGGGUAUGAGGAAGGUGGCUUUCUUUUCGGAGAAAGUGUUUUAUAGCCUUUGAUGCCUCUAGCAAUCGGAGAGAUUGAGGUCUGCAGCGUAGAUCCUUCGGGGUUAGAUACGUUUGUGCUAAGUUAUAGCUUUUCAUAGACAACUUGUUGACUAUGUUUAGUCUUGUAGCUUACUCGCUUACGCUAUUUUACCUACGCUUAGGAUGUUGAGCGCAUGUCUCUCUCU
rnacentral:rRNA from 1 species